rnacentral:rRNA from 1 species
UACGUAGGGGGCAAGCGUUGUCCGGAUUUAUUGGGCGUAAAGAGCUCGUAGGCGGUUGGGCAAGUCACGUGUGAAAUCUCCACGCUCAACGUGGAGGCGCCACGUGAGACUGCCCUGACUCGAGUCCGGUAGGGGAGCGUGGAAUUCCCGGUGUAGCGGUGAAAUGCGCAGAGAUCGGGAGGAACACCCGUAGCGAAGGCGGCGCUCUGGGCCGGUACUGACGCUGAGGCACGAAAGCGUGGGGAGCAAACAGG